AAAGAUCAUUAGUGAUUGACCUCCGGGUCUUAAUAACUAUAAUCUUCUACCUCUGUGAACCGUUGGUCUUCGGACCGAUUCUUAUAACAAACAUCUGUGUAAUGAACGUAACCUAUAUUAAUCAUAUAAAACUUUUAACAACGGAUCUCUUGGCUCUCGCAUCGAUGAAGAACGCAGCGAAAUGCGAUAAGUAAUGUGAAUUGCAGAAUUCAGUGAAUCAUCGAAUCUUUGAACGCACCUUGCGCCUUUUGGUAUUCCGAAAGGCAUGCCUGUUUGAGUGUCAUGAAAUAUCAACCCCUCCUGGUUUCUGAUCAGUGUUGGGCUUGGACUUGGGUGUCUGCCAGCUCGCUGGCUCGCCUUAAAAGAGUUAGUGGUAAUAACAUCCACGGCUAAGACGUAAUAAGUUUCGUCUGGUCAAGGUGUGACGACUGCUCAUAACCCGACCGCAAGGUCAUUAUUUUAUGCUCUGACCUCAAAUCAGGUAGGACUACCCGCUGAACUUAAGCAUAUCAAUAAGCGGAGGAAAAGAAACUAACAAGGAUUCCCCUAGUAACGGCGAGCGAACAGGGAAGAGCUCAAAUUUGAAAUCUGGCGUCCUCCGGGCGUCCGAGUUGUAAUCUAUAGAGACGUUUUCCGUGCCGGACCGUGUCCAAGUUCCUUGGAACAGGAUAUCAAAGAGGGUGACAAUCCCGUACUUGACACGACGACCGGUGCUCUGUGAUACGUUUUCUACGAGUCGAGUUGUUUGGGAAUGCAGCUCAAAAUGGGUGGUGAGUUCCAUCUAAAGCUAAAUAUUGGCGAGAGACCGAUAGCGAACAAGUACCGUGAGGGAAAGAUGAAAAGCACUUUGGAAAGAGAGUUAAACAGUACGUGAAAUUGUUAAAAGGGAAACGAUUGAAGUCAGUCGUGUCUGGGAGGCUCAGCCGGUUCUGCCGGUGUAUUCCUCUCAGACGGGUCAACAUCAGUUUUGUCCGACGGAUAAUGGCGGCGGGAAAGUAGCACCUCCGGGUGUGUUAUAGCCCGCUGUCGCAUACGCCGGAUGAGACUGAGGCAUGCAGCUCGCCUUUAUGGCAGGGGUUCGCCCACUUUCGAGCUUAGGAUGUUGACGUAAUGGCUUUAAACGACC
rnacentral:rRNA from 1 species